CCUACGGGUGGCAGCAGUGGGGAAUAUUGGACAAUGGGCGCAAGCCUGAUCCAGCCAUACCGCGUGGGUGAAGAAGGCCUUCGGGUUGUAAAGCCCUUUUGUUGGGAAAGAAAUCCUAUCGGUUAAUAACCGGUGGGGAUGACGGUACCCAAAGAAUAAGCACCGGCUAACUUCGUGCCAGCAGCCGCGGUAAUACGAAGGGUGCAAGCGUUACUCGGAAUUACUGGGCGUAAAGCGUGCGUAGGUGGUGGUUUAAGUCCGUUGUGAAAGCCCUGGGCUCAACCUGGGAAUUGCAGUGGAUACUGGAUCACUAGAGUGUGGUAGAGGGAUGCGGAAUUUCUGGUGUAGCAGUGAAAUGCGUAGAGAUCAGAAGGAACAUCCGUGGCGAAGGCGGCAUCCUGGGCCAACACUGACACUGAGGCACGAAAGCGUGGGGAGCA
rnacentral:rRNA from 1 species